CCCAGUCAUGAAUGGCCCUUGUGACUGGGCCUCACACCAAACAACUCAUUACACAAAGAGGUAAGGUCCCAGACCACGCCAAAGCUUCCUGAGACCUCUCCUCAUCUGUGCAUGGACGGAUGACCAACUCUGGGGCCCAGGCUGUUGCUUCCCAGUAUAAUGAUGAAUCCGCCAUAGUCUGGUGAGUGUAGAGGCUGACUCUGGAGCCCAGGCUGUACCUUCUCGGUCUGGUGAUGAAUCCUCAAUCGUGUGUUGUGGUUGAUAAUCUUUGGCCUUGUAUCUUCAAGAUAAUAACUACAGAAAAGCCCCAAUUUCUUUACUAAUAUAUUUCUGAGUACUGGAUUGAAGUCAAACUGUUGUAAGUCAACUUCUCACUUCUUACAUGUGUGUUUCUAUAAACUAGAAUCCCAUUAACAGAAAUUUAUUCCAUAAUAUGAAAAUACCAAUAUUAAGCAUGUUAUUAAAAGUAAAUCAAAUUAUAUGUUUUUACAUGUAUUUAUUUUAUAAAAACACAACAGCAAAGCUACAGGAUAUAUAUUCUGUAGGAGAAUGUUUACUUAAAUAAAAUUGUUGAGGAUUUCUUUAGAAAACUGACUUUUUAAGGUUUGUAAAUGGUACACAACACUACAAACUAAAAAUGAAAGCUAAAAAUGAGCCCUCUAUUACAACUAGAAUAUACCUCAGGUAAGCCCCACUCUUCCAGGCUGAACCCUGGAAGAACGUGAAACAAACCUGAACCUGGUAAUCAGUUCAGGUUUGAACCAAAGCUCCCUUAGCUUACCCAUCAACCCGUCAGUGAAAAAUUAGUGUUGGUAAACCACUGAGUUUUGGGGUUGUUAUGCAGCUUUAUCUCACACAAGCACACUAAUGGACCAAAGUUAAGUCACUGAAUCGCAGAAAUUACAAACAAUAAAUCUCAAUCCUCUCUAGAAAAGCACAAAACAUUUAAAGAACUAAAAGAUACACUUACAAAAAUAGGCAAACACAGAAAAUUAACAGGAAUGAACACACACAUUUUGGGAGAAAAUUUACAACAUAUGGAAAAUCUAGAUACAGAAAAUGUAAUUGUUAACCAAAAAUCAAACUCAAUGGAAGAAUUUAACAACAUAUUAGACACAACUUAAGUGAUAAUUAGUGAAGUGGGAGAGUCUGUGAAAAAAAUUACCCAAUAUGGAACACAGAGACUAAAAGAUGGACAAUAUGAAAGGUAUCAUAAAAGAUAAUGAAGAUAGAAUGAGAAGUCUAGUCAUGUAAUAUGUAUCUAAUUAAAGGUUCAGAUAUAGAGAAUUAAAAGAAAGAAGUGUAAGUAAUUAUUUGAAAAAUACCAAACUAAUAAAACUAAACAUAAAUCCGAGAAGGAACAAUAUAUACCAAGCAGUAUAUAAUUUAAAAAAAAUCUACUUUGACAUGUUGUAGUAAAUUUGAAGAAAGACACAUAAAAUGUCUUAUUUGCAGUUAUAUAAAGACAGGUCACAUACAAAGAAUGAGCAAUCAGAAUAUUAGAAUUUAUUUCAGAAUAAAAUUGGACUCAUCUGCUUUUAUUAGGGCUUAUUCUUUGGGAAAUUAAGUCUCCUCUCUCAAAGAAUAAAGGCUUUUGCCUUUUGUUGAAAAUCUUUGAGUUAUCACUUUGGCUAAGUUAGUGACUUAUUUUACAACGACCUGUGAUCCUAUUUAGUGAUAUUAAGUGUUUUAAAAUUUUACUUUUGACAAACUUUUCAAAGUCAAGUUCUAACUUUGGUCCUCAUUAAUUUUUUAAUAUUAGUCCCCUGAAGUCCAAAAGAAAUAUAUUCAGCUUAUUUGGUAUAAAGAAAUCGUACAGGAAGUACUGUCAAAUAUAAAAUACGUGACAAUAUUUUGUCAAACUAAAUUAGGUGUUUAGCCUUUCUUUGGAUUAUAUUUAUAUAAAUGUGUUAUUAGUAUGUGUUCCAGAAUUGUAUACAAUUCCUGCUAUGCUGAUACGUUUUAGCAUAUGUUACCAGUAGUAAUUAUAAUUAUUAUGUAAAAUUAUAUGCCACAGAAGUAACCAAAUUUUCUUGUCAAUUGUGUCUUUAUGACUGUUUUAAGACUUUUGUCAUCCACAAUUGUUUUACUUUUAUCAUUUUCAAAAGGUGGUUUUAUAAUCAGCAUAGGACUCUGAUGGGUGCUGUGAAAUGCAGUUUUGGAGAUUGUGACAUAGAUUAGGGAAAAAAAACUCCCAAGACUCCCAUGGAGAGCUAAAAUGUUCCGGAAUAUCAAGCAGAAUGGGAGGUAACGACAUGGACUGAACUAACAGAAGACUGAAAUAAUCCUGUAAUGACUUUUUGCUUAAAAUGUUGUUAUCCUUUUCUUUGUUUUUCACAGCCAAAAAAAAAUUUUUUUUCUUUUGAGCUAUUUGCAGCUUUUAACAAUCGAAUAAAGUGUGCUCCUAUAAAAAAAAUUGGAGCAUAUUUCUCUCUACCUAAUUUCUUCAAAAUUUAGAAACUAGUUUUUAAUAUGUAAGGUCAGCUGAGAGAGAAAGAAUGAGAGAGAGAGAGACCCAAGUUCAGCAAGCCUUUAUUAACCUACAGACUGCCCUCUAAACAGUCAGAGAGAGCAGCCCCCAGCUUACAGAAUGAGGGGUUUAUAUUGGGGAGGGAGUUUGAGGGAGUUCUUUGGUAUGGCUGCAUCCCGGGGUUGUUUGCUGGUUAAUUUUGCCACAUAUUACCCUGUGAUGUUUAUGGUAGAAUUUACAGGAGGGUGUAGGUAAAGUUUGUUUAUGCUUCCCACAACCUCCCCCGUGCGGUCUGGAUUUUUUGUAAUUGGGGUUUGCUUUAUUGAAGCAAGACCUGAUAGAUAAAAUCUGCUGGCUUCACCACAGCGCCUAGGUAAGGGCUUAGAAAUGUAAAAUGGUUUUGGGGAAGGGUGGGCAGCAUGGAGAGGUUUGGGGGGAGUGUUGGCAGUACCAAGAAGCUUUUUGGGGCGGUUUGUCCCUAACAGAAUAUACUUCACUUAUGGCAAUAUAGUGAUUUGCAUAAGUGCAAUAAGAAUCUGUGUUAUUAACAGGACAGAAUUGGAGACAUUGGUUAUUUAAGGUUUUGACUGAAAUGGCAUCCUAUCAGGUAAAGACUCCUUUAAGGAAUGAAAGAUGGCUUACAGAGCCAAUGAAAGUCCCUUGGGAAAGCUGACUUCAAACCUUGUCUACAAAGUCCUCGUAUAGGUUUCUGAUCUGUGGUAAGUAAAGAAUGUCGCUUUCUGGCCAGGUGCGGUGGCUCAUGCCUGUAAUCCCAGCACUUUGGGAGGCCGAGGCAGGUGGAUCACAAGAUCAGGAGUUCGAGACCAGCCUGACCAACAUGGUGAAACCCCAUUUCUACUAAAAAUACAAAAAUUAGCUGGGUGUGGUGGCGCGCACCUGUAAUCCCAGCUACUCAGGAGGCUGAGGCAGGAGAAUCACUUGAAUCCAGGAGGCAGAUGUUGCAGUGAGCCAAGAUCACGCCAUUGCACUCCAGCCUGGGCGACAGAGCGAGACUCCGUCUAAAAAAAAAAAAAAGAAUGUUGCUUUCUGACAAGCCCAGGGGCCCCAAGUUUUCUGGGGACCUUGAGGUGAAGAAUUCACCUAAUUAAUAAAGUUUUCUCUGUGUAGGACGUGAGACUUUACGACCUGCUAAAAAUGAGCUUUCCUAAUAAUGUGGGACCUAUUCAUCUAAGAAUAAAUCAUCCGCUCCGUGACAGAUCAGACAGAACCUGAGACCAGAAACUCAUUUUCUUCUAAAAUGCUUUCUCUGAAAGAUUUUAAAAAGAAAAGGGGGAAAUGUAAAAGGAAAAUACAUCUUGAGACCCCCAAAUCACUAAGCCAAAGAAAGAGGUUAAGCUGAGAACUGCUUAGGGAAAAUCUUCCUUCCAUUCUAUUCCUAAAAACGAUAGCUCGUAAGAUUAAAAAAGCUACAUACCUGCCUCACAAGAAAUUUCCUUGCAGACAAAGGGCAUGCAGAACUCAAAGUCAUUCCUCUGCUCACUGAGAUAGAUAUGUAUUGAUUGUCUCCACUGGAAAGGCUAAUCAGAAACUCAAAAGAAUAACAUCGAAGGUGCCACUCCUGAGGAAAUCUCAACUGCACGACCCCUACUACGCCCCAAUUCAGCAGGAAGCAGUUAGAGCGGUCGUGGGCCAACCUCCCCCAACAGCACUUGGGUUUUCCUGUUGAGAGGGGGACUGAAAGGCAGGACUAGCUGGAUUUCCUAGGCCGACUAAGAAUCCCUAAGCCUAGCCGGGAAGGUGACCGCCUCCACCUUUAAAACACAGGGCUUGCAACUUAGCUCACACUUGACCAAUCAGGUAGUAAAGAGAGCUCACUAAAACGCUAAUUAGGCUAAAACAGGAGGUAAAGAAAUAGCCAAUCAUCUAUUGCCUGAGAGCACAGGGGGAGGGACAAUGAUUGGGAUAUAAACCCAGGCAUUCAAGCUGGCAAGGGCAACCCCCUUUGGGUCCCCUCCCAUUUUAUGGGAGCUCUGUUUUCACUCUAUUAAAUCUUGCAACUGCGAAAAAAAAAAAAAAGAAUGCAACGGUUUGCCUUUUAUCUGCCUAUGACCUGGAAGCCCCCUCCCUGCUUUGAGUUGUCCUGCCUUUCAGGACUGAACCAAUGUACAUCUUACACAUAUUGAUUGAUGUCUCAUGUCUCUCUAAAAUGUAUAAACCAAGCCAUGCCCCGACCACCUUGGGCACAUGUCACCAGGGCCUCCUGAGGCUAUGUUACAGGCACAUGUCCUUAACUUUGGGAAAAUAAACUUUCUAAAUUGACUGGGAUCUUUCUCAGAUAUUUGGAACUCACUCUACACAGACACACAGACACACACACAAACACACUCACAAACAUGCACACACAAAUACACAUAUAUGUAUAUUUGUGUUAUAAACGUAUUAGUCCUUUUUCUGUAAUACAGAUUUUAAGUAAACUCCAGUGCUUCAUUUGUCUUUUUACUUUGCUUAUCGUUCUUUUUUUCUUUUAAGUUUUAAAACACUUUAGGGAAUAGGAAGAGCAAGAUGACUAAAAAAAUCUCUCCAAUGAUAACCCUACCACAGGAACACCGAAUUGAAUAACUAUACAUGCAAGAAAGAACUUCCAUAAAAACCAAAAAAAAAUAAGCAAUCACAGUACCUGAUUAUAACAUCAUAUCAAGAAAAGAAGCACUGAAGAGGGUAGCCAGGGUAGUCUUGCAUUGCCUACAUCAUCCCUCCUCCAUCCCCCAGCAGUACAAAGAGAGAUAAUGUAUGUGCUUGUGGGAGGGGGAGUCAAGGACUUUGGUAUUUGUAUUGGAAUUCAGUGCUACCUUGUCCCAGUGGAACACAACACAGGGCAGAAUUUAGCCAGUGCCAACAGAGGAGGCAUUUAGACUAACCCCAGUCAAAAGGUAAUCUUUUACUCCAGCAGUGGGAACCUGAGCUCUGGCUAGCUCCAUCAAUGCCUGAUUAAUGUAGCCUGGGGUCCUGGAUAAACUUGAAAGACAGUCAGGCUCAAGGCUUGCAGUCCUUGGGUAAGUCCUGUUGCUUUGCUGAGCUUGGAGACAGUGGUAUUGAGAUACCCACAGCUCAGUGAGACAAAAGCUGGAGUGGCCAAGGGAAUGCUUGCAUCAGCUCUUCUCCAACUCCAGGAAGCACAACUCAUAGCUCCAGGAGAGACUCCUUCCACUUGCAGAAAGGAAAAGGAAGAGUAAAAAGAACUUUGUCCUGUGACUUAGAUACACUUUCAGCCACAGUUUAAAAAUAACAAUAAUAAAAAAAUAAAAGCAUAAAGCAGAGUCCUGAGACCUCCAAUUCCAGACCCUAGGUCUUGGAUGACAUUUCUAAACCCACCCUGGGCUAGAAGGGAACCCACUAACCUGAAGUGAAAAACCAAGCCUUGGCAGGAUGCAACACAUGCUGACUAAAGGGACCUUGAUAGGGCUACAUGAGUGGUAGCCAGGCAGUAGUCACCAUGGGCCUUGGACUAGACCCAUUACCGUGCUGGCUUCAAGUGUGACCCAGCAUAGUCCCAACUUUGGUGGCCCUGGAAGUGUUUGCAUCAUCCCUCCCCCAAUUUCAGUCAGCCCAGCACAGAGAGACAAACACUUGUUUGGGGAAAAGUGAGAGAAGAGGAUGAGAGACUCCCUGGUAUUCCAGGAAAUGCUCCCAGAUCUUAUUCAAGUCCACCCAUGAUAUACCUCUGCAAGUAUGCAAAUAUGGCAUCACUACUGGACUUGUGGCACUCCCUAGUGCAGAUAUAGCUGCAGUAACCAAAGACUUAAGUUGCAACUCUAGAUAUGGGAAAGUCUUCUCGAGAAGUAUAAAUCCAAACAAGAAAGAACUGCAAAGAUUAGAAUACCUAAACUCUUCAGCGCCCAAACAUCAUGAACAUCAACAAGCAUCAAGAAUAUACAAGAAAACAUGACCUGACCAAAUGAACAAAAUAAGGCACCACUGACCAAUCCUGGAGUGAGAGACAUAUGUGACUUUUCAAAAGAGAACUCAAAAUAGGUUUUUUUGAGGAAGCUUAACCAAUUUCACAGUAACACAAAUAAGGAAUUUAGAAUUCUAUUAGAAAACAUUUACAAAGAGAUUGAAAUAAUAGAAAAAUCAAGUAGAUAUUUAGAAGUUUAAAAAUUCAAUUAACAAAAUGAAAACAUGCAUCAGAGUAUUUUAAUAGCAGAAAUUAUUAGGCUGAAAAAAAAUAGUGAACUUGGAGAUCGGCUACUGAAAAUGCACAGUAAGAGAAAGCAAAAGAAAAAAGGAUGAAAAAGAAUGAAGUAAACCAACAAGAUCUAGAAAAAGGCCUCAAAAAAAUCUAAUCAUUACUGGUCUAAAAGAGGAGGUAUAGCAAGAGGUUGGGGUAAAAGUCUAUUCAAAGAAAUAAUAACAGUGAACUUUUGAAACCUAAAGAAAGUUAUCAAUAUUCAAGUUUAAGAAAGUAAUAGAACACCAAGUGGAUUUAACACAUUAAGACUACUUCAAGACAUUCAAUAAUCAAACUCCCAAAACAAAAAGAUAAAGAAAGAAUCCUAAAUGCAGCAAGAAAAAACAAGCAAAUAACAUACAAAGGAGUGUCAGUAUCCAGUGAAAAUACCUUUAAAACAUAAAGGAGGCCAGGCACGGUGGCUCAUGCCUGUAAUCCCAGCACAUUAGCAGGCUGAGGCAGGUGGAUGCACGACGUCAGGAGUUUGAGACCAGCCCGGCCAACAUGGUGAAACCCCGUCUCUAGUAAAAAUACAAAAAUUAUCUGAGUGUUGUGGCGUGCACCUGUAACCCCAGCUGCUUGAGAGGCUGAGGCAAGAGAAUUGCUUGAACCCAGGAGUCAGAGGUUGUAGUGAGCCGAGAUCGGAGAUCGUGCCAUUGCACUCCAGCUGGGGUGACAGAGCAAGACUCUUUCACAAAAAAAAAAAAAAAAAAAAAAAAACACACACACGCACACACAUAAAGGAGAAAUAUUUUCCCAAUGAGCGUUAAGAAAUUUGGAAAACACCAGACCUGUCAUUCAAGAAAUGUAAAAGGAAGUUCUUGAUUCUAAAAAGAAAGAAUGUUAAUGAGCAAUAAGAAAUUAUCUAAAGGUAAAAACUCACAGGUAACAGUGAGUACACAAAGAAUAUUCUGACAAUGUAUUCGCUGUGUGUAAACCAUUCAUAUCUUGAGUAGUAAGACUAAAAGACAAACUUAUUUAAAAUAAUAACUAAAAUACUUUUUAAGGUGUAGAUACUGCAAAGGACAUGAACUCAUUCUUUUUUAUAGCUGCAUAGUAUUCCAUGAUGUAUAUGUACCACAUUUUCUUUAUGCAGUCUAACAUUGAUGGGCAUUUGGGUUGGUUCCAAGUCUUUGUUAUUGUGAAUAGUGCUUCAAUAAACAUGCGUGCAUGUGUCUUUAUAGUUGAAUGAUUUAUAAUCCUUUGGGUAUAUACCCUGUAAUGGCAUUGCUGAGUCAAAUGGUAUUUCUGGUUCUGGAUUCUUGAGUAAUCAACACACUGUCUUCUACAGUGGUUGAAUUAAUUUACACUCCCACCCACAGUAUAAAAGCGGAUACAUUACUAGACAUACACAACUUACCAAAAAAAAAAAAAAAUAGUAAAAGCAUUUCUAUUUCUCCACAUCCUCUCCAGCGUCUGUUGUUUCCUGACUUUUUAGUGAUUGCCAUUCUAACUGGCAUGAGAUGGUAUCUAAUUGUGGUUUGAUUUACAUUUCUCUAAUGACCAGUGAUGAUGAGCUUUUUUUCAUAUGUUUGUUGGCUGCAUAAAUGUCUUCUUUUGAAAAGUGUCUGUUUAUAUCCUUCGCCCACUUUUUGAUAAGGUUGUUUGCUUUUUUCUUGUAAAUUUGUUUAAGUUUCUUGUAAAUUCUGGAUAUUAGCCCUUUAUCAGAUGGAUAGAUUGCAAAAAUUUUCUCCCAUUCUGUAGGCUGCCUGUUCACUCUGAUGAUAGCUCCUUUUGCUGUGCCAAAGCACUUCAUUCUCAGCAAACUAACACAGGAAUAGAAAACCAAACACCACAUGUUCUCACUCAUAAGUGGAAGUUGAACAAUGAGAACAUAUGGGCAGAGGGAGG
rnacentral:lncRNA from 10 species